GACGAACGCUGGCGGCGUGCUUAACACAUGCAAGUCGAACGGAAAGGCCCUGCUUGCAGGGUACUCGAGUGGCGAACGGGUGAGUAACACGUGGGUGAUCUGCCCUGCACUUCGGGAUAAGCCUGGGAAACUGGGUCUAAUACCGGAUAGGAGCCAUUUUUAGUGUGAUGGUUGGAAAGUUUUUUCGGUGUAGGAUGAGCUCGCGGCCUAUCAGCUUGUUGGUGGGGUAAUGGCCUACCAAGGCGGCGACGGGUAGCCGGCCUGAGAGGGUGGACGGCCACAGUGGGACUGAGAUACGGCCCAGACUCCUACGGGAGGCAGCAGUGGGGAAGAUUGCACAAUGGGCGCAAGCCUGAUGCAGCGACGCCGCGUGGGGGAUGACGGCCUUCGGGUUGGAAACUCCUUUCGCUAGGGACGAAGCUUUUUGUGACGGUACCUAGAUAAGAAGCACCGGCUAACUACGUG
rnacentral:rRNA from 1 species